rnacentral:lncRNA from 1 species
AAUGAAGGCCCUACCUCAAACAAACCCCACUGAAGGUACACAUGUAACUUGAAUGCAAGGAUAACAGAGCACUGUGCUAAGAUUUUUUUAACUGGCAUUUAUGGGAAGGGACUUCCAACUACAAUGGCCUUGAUCCAUCACAUCCAAGAAACAGGGAGAAAAAUGAGAUCAUUCUCAUAGCAUACGAAGAAAGUACGUGCUUAAUUAGAUAACUGCAUAAUAAACUGUAGCAGUUACCGUAAUUCCAUCAGAGGAUUAAUGUGCUGAGAGUUGGAGAUUCUUUGGACCCUGGAGACAAUUUCUUCAAUCUACAGUAGUGGCAAAUGGAGAAAUCGUAAGGGAGAUAUCUGCAGUGCUACAGCCUAUGCUCUAUUUCUCAAGCAACAUUGUUUGACUAGACUAGUGAAGAUACAGUAGUCACCAAUGCACUAAGCAUGAAUAAUU